GGCCAAUAUGGAAACUGGGCUUAUGAGCUAGUGUGGAAACUGUGCUUAGGGGCCAGACAAAAUUGGGCUUAUGGGCCAGUGUGAAACUGCACUUAGGGCUAGUGUGGAACCUGGGUUUAGGGGUCAGGUAAAAUUGGGCUUAGGGGCCAGUGUGAAAACUGGGCUUAUGGGCCAGACGAAACUGGGCUUAUGGGCCAGUGUUGAAACUGGGCUUAUGGGCCAGUGUUGAAACUGGGCUUAGGGGUUGUUGGCUGCAAAACCAACGGCAAGUGCAC
rnacentral:lncRNA from 1 species